ACUCCUACGGGAGGCAGCAGUGGGGAAUAUUGCACAAUGGGGGAAACCCUGAUGCAGCCAUGCCGCGUGUGUGAAGAAGGCCUUCGGGUUGUAAAGCACUUUCAGUAGGGAGGAAGGUAGUGUAGUUAACACCUGCACUAUUUGACGUUACCUACAGAAGAAGCACCGGCUAACUCCGUGCCAGCAGCCGCGGUAAUACGGAGGGUGCGAGCGUUAAUCGGAAUUACUGGGCGUAAAGCGCAUGCAGGCGGCCUGUUAAGUCAGAUGUGAAAGCCCGGGGCUUAACCUCGGAAUUGCAUUUGAAACUGGCAGGCUAGAGUCUUGUAGAGGGGGGUAGAAUUUCAGGUGUAGCGGUGAAAUGCGUAGAGAUCUGAAGGAAUACCAGUGGCGAAGGCGGCCCCCUGGACAAAGACUGACGCUCAGAUGCGAAAGCGUGGGGAGC
rnacentral:rRNA from 1 species